rnacentral:rRNA from 1 species
AACCAGCACCUCAAGUGGUCAGGAGGAUUAUUGGGCCUAAAGCAUCCGUAGCCGGCUCUGUAAGUUUUCGGUUAAAUCCAUGUGCUCAACGCAUGGGCUGUCGAAAAUACUGCAUAGCUAGGGAGUGGGAGAGGUAGACGGUACUCGGUAGGAAGGGGUAAAAUCCUUUGAUCUAUCGAUGACCACCUGUGGCGAAGGCGGCUCACUGGCUCGAUACUGACGCUGAGGUGCGAAAGUGUGGGGAGCAAACAGG